rnacentral:rRNA from 1 species
CCUACGGGUGGCAGCAGUGAGGAAUAUUGGUCAAUGGGCGGAAGCCUGAACCAGCCAAGUAGCGUGCAGGAUGACGGCCCUACGGGUUGUAAACUGCUUUUAUCCGGGAAUAACGCGCCUUACGUGUAGGUCUUUGCAUGUACCUGAUGAAUAAGGACCGGCUAAUUCCGUGCCAGCAGCCGCGGUAAUACGGAAGGUCCGGGCGUUAUCCGGAUUUAUUGGGUUUAAAGGGAGCGUAGGCCGCAUGUUAAGCGUGCUGUGAAAUGUCCGGGCUCAACCCGGGCCUUGCAGCGCGAACUGGCGUGCUUGAGACGGCGGAAGGCAGGCGGAAUUCGUAGUGUAGCGGUGAAAUGCUUAGAUAUGACGAAGAACCCCGAUUGCGAAGGCAGCUUGCUGCAGCGGAACUGACGCUGAUGCUCGAAAGCGCGGGUAUCGAACAGGAUUAGAUACCCCGGUAGUC